UACGAAGGGGGGCUAGCGUUGUUCGGAAUUACUGGGCGUAAAGCGCGCGCAGGCGGUCCUUUAAGUCAGGGGUGAAAGCCCAGAGCUCAACUCUGGAACUGCCUUUGAAACUAGAGGACUUGGGUACGGGAGAGGUGAGUGGAAUUCCGAGUGUAGAGGUGAAAUUCGUAGAUAUUCGGAGGAACACCAGUGGCGAAGGCGGGCUCACUGGCCCGGUACUGACGCUGAGGUGCGAAAGCGUGGGGAGCAAACAGGG
rnacentral:rRNA from 1 species